rnacentral:rRNA from 1 species
GGGGAAUAUUGCACAAUGGGCGAAAGCCUGAUGCAGCAACGCCGCGUGGAGGAUGAAGGCCUUCGGGUUGUAAACUCUUGUCUUCUGGGACGAUAAUGACGGUACCCGAGGAGGAAGCAACGGCUAAGUACGUGCCAGCAGCCGCGGUAAGACGUAGGUGGCAAGCGUUGUCCGGAUUUACUGGGCGUAAAGGAUGCGUAGGCGGAUAUUUAAGUGGGAUGUGAAAUACCCGAGCUCAACUUGGGUGCUGCAUUCCAAACUGAAUAUCUAGAGUGCGGGAGAUGAGAGUGGAAUUCCUAGUGUAGCGGUGAGAUGCGUAGUGAUUAGGAAGAACACCAGUGGCGAAGGCGACUCUCUGGACCGUAACUGACGCUGAGGCAUGAAAGCGUGGGGAGCAAAC